GGAGUAACAGGCAAGUUCGGCUUUGGAGUACAAAAUGAAGCAGGACAAAGGCUAACAAAAGUUUUGCCAAGGGAAUUCACUGGUCAUUGCUAACACCCUUUUCCAACAAUACAAGAUAAAAUAGUACACAUGGACUUCACCAGAUGGCAAAUAUUGAAAUUAGAUUGAUUAUAUUCUUUGCAGCCAAAGAUAGAGAAGCUCUAUACAGUCAGCAAAAACAAGACCAGGAGCUGACUGUGCCUCAGAUCAUGAACUCCUUAUUGCCAAAUUCAGACUUAAAUUGAAGAAAGGGGGGAAAACCACUAGACCAUUCAGUGCCAUUCGGGGAGGCAAGUGCAAUCAUCACCAAACAUGCUGCUGCUGCUGCUGCUGCUAAGUCGCUUCAGUCGUGUCCGACUCUUUGCGACCCCACCAGGCUCCUCCGUCCAUGGGAUUUUCCAGGCAAGAGUACUGGAGUGGGGUGCCAUUGCCUUCUCUGCACUAAACAUGCAUCAACUCUUAAAUGAAAAGCUAUUGCUCUACUAAACUCCGUGUUGGAGAAGACUCUUGAGAGUCCCUUGGACUGCAAGGAGAUCCAACCAGUCCAUUCUAAAGGAGAUCAGCCUUGGGUGUUCCUUGGAAGGACUGAUGCUAAAGCUGAAACUCCAAUACUUUGACCACCUCAUGUGAAGAGUUGACUCAUUGGAAAAGACCCAGAUGCUGGGAAGGAUUGGGGGCAGGAGGAGAAGGAGAUGACAGAGGAUGAGAUGGCUGGAUGGCAUCACCGACUUGAUGGACGUGAGUUUGAGUGAAAUCUGGGAGUUGGUGAUGGACAGGGAGGCCUGGCAUUCUGCGAUUCAUGGGGUCGCAAAGAGUCGGACACAACUAAGCAACUGAACUGAACUGAACCGAACCUCCGUUGUAGCCUCUAUCUGGGAAAAGGAGGCAAAAAACUCUAGAAGAAAUGGUUGUUUUCUUUUGGAGUUUUCCUUUUUAUGCUAGAUUAUAAAUUCUGUAAAGCAAGGGAGGCCUGGUGUGCUGCAAUUCAUGGGGUUGCAAAGAGUCAGACACGACUGAGCGACUGAUA
ensembl:lncRNA